rnacentral:rRNA from 2 species
UUAAGUUAUUAAGGGCGCACGGUGGAUGCCUUGGCACUAGAAGCCGAUGAAGGACGUUACUAACGACGAUAUGCUUUGGGGAGCUGUAAGUAAGCUUUGAUCCAGAGAUUUCCGAAUGGGGAAACCCAGCAUGAGUUAUGUCAUGUUAUCGAUAUGUGAAUACAUAGCAUAUCAGAAGGCACACCCGGAGAACUGAAACAUCUUAGUACCCGGAGGAAGAGAAAGAAAAUUCGAUUCCCUUAGUAGCGGCGAGCGAAACGGGAAGAGCCCAAACCAACAAGCUUGCUUGUUGGGGUUGUAGGACACUCUGUACGGAGUUACAAAGGACGACAUUAGACGAAUCAUCUGGAAAGAUGAAUCAAAGAAGGUAAUAAUCCUGUAGUCGAAAAUGUUGUCUCUCUUGAGUGGAUCCUGAGUACGACGGAGCACGUGAAAUUCCGUCGGAAUCUGGGAGGACCAUCUCCUAAGGCUAAAUACUCUCUAGUGACCGAUAGUGAACCAGUACCGUGAGGGAAAGGUGAAAAGCACCCCGGAAGGGGAGUGAAAUAGAACCUGAAACCGUGUGCUUACAAGUAGUCAGAGCCCGUUAAUGGGUGAUGGCGUGCCUUUUGUAGAAUGAACCGGCGAGUUACGAUUUGAUGCAAGGUUAAGCAGUAAAUGUGGAGCCGUAGCGAAAGCGAGUCUGAAUAGGGCGUUUAGUAUUUGGUCGUAGACCCGAAACCAGGUGAUCUACCCUUGGUCAGGUUGAAGUUCAGGUAACACUGAAUGGAGGACCGAACCGACUUACGUUGAAAAGUGAGCGGAUGAACUGAGGGUAGCGGAGAAAUUCCAAUCGAACCUGGAGAUAGCUGGUUCUCUCCGAAAUAGCUUUAGGGCUAGCCUCAAGUGAUGAUUAUUGGAGGUAGAGCACUGUUUGGACGAGGGGCCCCUCUCGGGUUACCGAAUUCAGACAAACUCCGAAUGCCAAUUAAUUUAACUUGGGAGUCAGAACAUGGGUGAUAAGGUCCGUGUUCGAAAGGGAAACAGCCCAGACCACCAGCUAAGGUCCCAAAAUAUAUGUUAAGUGGAAAAGGAUGUGGCGUUGCCCAGACAACUAGGAUGUUGGCUUAGAAGCAGCCAUCAUUUAAAGAGUGCGUAAUAGCUCACUAGUCGAGUGACACUGCGCCGAAAAUGUACCGGGGCUAAACAUAUUACCGAAGCUGUGGAUUGUCCUUUGGACAAUGGUAGGAGAGCGUUCUAAGGGCGUUGAAGCAUGAUCGUAAGGACAUGUGGAGCGCUUAGAAGUGAGAAUGCCGGUGUGAGUAGCGAAAGACGGGUGAGAAUCCCGUCCACCGAUUGACUAAGGUUUCCAGAGGAAGGCUCGUCCGCUCUGGGUUAGUCGGGUCCUAAGCUGAGGCCGACAGGCGUAGGCGAUGGAUAACAGGUUGAUAUUCCUGUACCACCUAUAAUCGUUUUAAUCGAUGGGGGGACGCAGUAGGAUAGGCGAAGCGUGCGAUUGGAUUGCACGUCUAAGCAGUAAGGCUGAGUAUUAGGCAAAUCCGGUACUCGUUAAGGCUGAGCUGUGAUGGGGAGAAGACAUUGAGUCUUCGAGUCGUUGAUUUCACACUGCCGAGAAAAGCCUCUAGAUAGAAAAUAGGUGCCCGUACCGCAAACCGACACAGGUAGUCAAGAUGAGAAUUCUAAGGUGAGCGAGCGAACUCUCGUUAAGGAACUCGGCAAAAUGACCCCGUAACUUCGGGAGAAGGGGUGCUCUUUAGGGUUAACGCCCAGAAGAGCCGCAGUGAAUAGGCCCAAGCGACUGUUUAUCAAAAACACAGGUCUCUGCUAAACCGUAAGGUGAUGUAUAGGGGCUGACGCCUGCCCGGUGCUGGAAGGUUAAGAGGAGUGGUUAGCUUCUGCGAAGCUACGAAUCGAAGCCCCAGUAAACGGCGGCCGUAACUAUAACGGUCCUAAGGUAGCGAAAUUCCUUGUCGGGUAAGUUCCGACCCGCACGAAAGGCGUAACGAUUUGGGCACUGUCUCAACGAGAGACUCGGUGAAAUCAUAGUACCUGUGAAGAUGCAGGUUACCCGCGACAGGACGGAAAGACCCCGUGGAGCUUUACUGUAGCCUGAUAUUGAAAUUCGGCACAGCUUGUACAGGAUAGGUAGGAGCCUUUGAAACGUGAGCGCUAGCUUACGUGGAGGCGCUGGUGGGAUACUACCCUAGCUGUGUUGGCUUUCUAACCCGCACCACUUAUCGUGGUGGGAGACAGUGUCAAGCGGGCAGUUUGACUGGGGCGGUCGCCUCCUAAAAGGUAACGGAGGCGCUCAAAGGUUCCCUCAGAAUGGUUGGAAAUCAUUCAUAGAGUGUAAA